AGAGAAUAAUGUGCAAGAGGAAUUAAAAUAUGUGGGGUUCCUACGAUUCAAAAUAUGACACUUUCGCAAGCAGAAGCCAGGUUUCUUGCUUGGAUCUGACUUGUCCAGCAGUACCAUCCACUGGGAUUAUAACAAUAAGUCUCAACUGAGGCUAACUGGAUAAGGUGCAUAUAGUGGACAGCAGCAACACCACACCACUGAGGAAGACUUGGAGCUGACUCCGUGGAAGAGACAUUGUUGGGGAUAACAGCAGACACCAGUCGUGUUUGACGAGUAGCAUCACUGAAGCCAUUAAGAUUUAUGGUCCAACAGAAUCUAAUUUAGAUUCUAAUCUAAAAAAUUAUCUCACUUUUUAGAUUAGAAUCAAUCUAAACAUCAUGGCAUAGACAGA